AACGAACAGUAUUUUUCUCUUACA
rnacentral:miRNA from 1 species